GGGGGGCGCGUCUGUGUCCUUUACACGCCGCACUCAGUAGUCUCUUGCCUUUGCAUAGAUUGGUGUAGCCGGCACACGCACACAUACACGCGCCUCAGCUCUUCUUUUGUUUGCAUUGCUGCGCGUCUGGGCUUCCGUUGGGAAGAGAGGAAGGAGAGUGGUCCGCGUGUGCGUCUGCAUCCCUCCGGCGACUCCUGUAAGCGCUUUCUAUCGCCUUUCACUCUGAUACCCAGUCGUACAACGGAUUGCCUGUGUCCACGUUUAUGCGUUUGUUCUUUUUUUUUACCCUAUCUUAGAAGCACACCUGCACACAUACACCUACAUCUUUCGCAUAGACAUUCUCAUACAUACCAGCCGCGGAACGCAGUGCCUCCUCAUCCACCGCUGCACGUGGGUCCGAAUCAUUCUUUUUUCUGUUAGACGUCCCUCCUCCACACACACGCAUACACCUUAUCUUCUCUGUCGUUUGGCAAAGUGCGCCUUGUUUACCGCUUCUCGCGCACGGUGCCUGCAUACCGGCCUCGCGAGUCGUCUAGAGGACGCGCAGUAGAUUGCUCACCCUAUCUCUUCUGUGGCGCGGUCCGUUUCCUGGAGCCGACUAUAGCACCAUGCCUCCUCCGCCAUCGGUCAACACGAAGCGGGGAGCGGUGGACGCUAAGGCCCACCAUGAAAACGUCGUCGCCGUCUCCCCGUGUGAGACGGAGUCGAUGGCGCUGACCAACGCCACCACAACUACUGCCACGACCGGACGCCGCAGCGCCAGCACCGGUAGCGGCAAGGGUCGAGGCAGCGCUAACACACUGCGUGAAGCCUCGACGAUCAAUUCUUCCAUUGGGCCCCUUUCCCCAACACCCGUGAUGACGGCCACGUCACCGUCGCUCGCCUCUGCAACCACCUCUGCCACUGGUGCGCGCAAACGAGCACGCGAAUCGGCGGAGCGCGGCAGCACCAUUCGUCAUUCGCAAGGUGGUCGCAGCCCCAGUGCCCCGGCAACAACUGGGGGGCUGGCGCGGCACCUCCUGCAGCGUCCGCGCCGCUCGGGAUCAUUUGGCAGUGACGGCCGCCGUAUAAGUGGUACUCCUCAGCUGGUGCGCGACCCGAAUAUGUGUGCUGAGCUGGACGAGGAGGGUGUCUUCUUUGAGACCACGACGACAAGAGCCUCCCCUGCGCACCUGCAACGCACACCCACCUCGCAGCUUUUGAGCCAGCAGCAGGCGCCCCCCUACUCGGCACUUUCUGAGAGCCGGGACGCGGCACCGCAGGAGCCUGCUGUCGAGCAGGCACUCUUCACGCCUGCCACAGUCGCUCGACGCCCGCAACCUCAGCCCGUCUUUGGAGAGGCACUCCGGUCCUCGCCGUCGUCGACAGCGCCUGCGCCGAGCGCCGUCUCUCCAGCUGCUUCUUCCGCGUCCCGCCCGUCCUCCCACGACGAAGCGGUGCAGGCUAUUUUGCGUGCGAACCCGCCCACGAUGACGCGCCCUGUGCAACUAAAACCGGGGUAUACCGUUCCAAGCCCGCAAACGCCUUUGUGGGCGGCCCUCGAUGCGGAUGAAGACGAGGACCACCAAACGGCACGCGGCAGCGGGCAGGGGUUGGAGGAGCCGCUUCUCAGCAAUACGCAGGCCAGCCUCUUCCAGUUUGGGGACGAGGAGGAAGCAAAGACGAGCGGUGCAGUGAGGACGACCACGCUGGUUGGCGCGCUGCCACACUCUGGGCACGCCUCUAACACCACAAUUGCGACGGUAUCAGCAUUGGGUGUACACGUGCCGACGACGACGCACGAGUGCAGACGCCUUGGCACGCGUGCGGCUGCAAAUGGGAGCAUCAGUCUUCCAGCACCCGGGCGGUCACUGAACUUGCUUGACGAAGAUGGUCUCCAUGAUGACGAGCGUCUUCCCGUGUUCGUUGGGAUGGACGGCGACAGCCAAGGCGGUGAUACCGACGGCAUGGCCUUCUCGCUGACGCAGGAGGCGAAUCGGCAGGAACGAGCUCAAGAUAUGCAGGCUGUCCUGCCCCGAUCGCGCGCUUACCGUGGUGCUGCAGCUGCUCAGGCAUCCGCCACCACGAUGUUGCACGCUGGCAAGCUCGGUAGUGCGAACAUGUCCACACCAAGUCCGGCCCGUCAGCGCGCAGCGCGCACCUCUCUCAGCAUAGCUCAGCAGCGGGCAAGUCCAUACAGCCAACUACAGCGGGACGUGGAGAGUAAUAUGGCAGCGGCGGCAGCAGGAGCAGCGAGUGAGAGGCACACCACGGCCCCUGCCGCAGAUGUGAAGCCUGCCGGGGUGCUCUCGCAGAAGGAGCUGCGGCGGAGGGCCGACAUGCUGAAGUGGGCGGAGCGCACACGCGCCUUUUUUCACUUCAUCGAUGCGCGUCCGCUGCACGUCACCGCAUCUCCGCUGAAGCCUCCACCACCAACUUCCUCACAACCGCGCCGAGGCUACCACAGCCAGAGCGGCGUAACCGAUUAUCAUCGCGGAAGCAUCGGGACAGUGCAGCCACGCAAGAGCCGCACGGCCGCAGCCUCGAUGAGCCUCGUUCGUCGCAGCCACAGUGCAAGUGCUGCCCCAGCCGUGCUGUCGCCGUCUGUCGCUGCGCGCCGCAGCAGCAGCGCCUUCGAGGCUGUCAUUUCGCGAGUGAAGCGAGCGGCAGCAGCAGCGUCGAAAACGACUCGCUCCACUUCUGCCAAGUAGCGCAGCGGCAGCGCGACACGCAGUGUCGGCGACGGAGUCUUAAACGGGCGUGUAUACGCAGGCAUGUGUCCACGCGCACGCUGGGCUCGCUUUAUUCUGUGCUUUGCUCUUGGAGUUCUUUGUGGCGAUGUUGCACCCUUCCACGCCUCCUCUGCUCCUUGCCUCUUGUGGUUCCCUCGAACGCCUCUCCGCCAUUCCUCCCUCGUGCGUGGGGUGCACAACCACCUCCUCGAAUGCGCGAAGCGUAGACACUGAAACGCGUGGAAUGAGCGAAAUGCAUGAAGAUCCGCCCGGCGCGUGUGUGCCCUGUAUCUUUCAUUCCGUUUGUGUGCGUGUGUGUGUGUGUGUGUGUUUUGUCUUUCGACAGAGUGUCUUGUGACAGGCCAAGGAGGGCCCGCAAGAUGCAAGAGAGAGCGGACAGGAGAUGAGACGUAGCUGUGGCAUGCCUUCAUCUGGUAGGUUUCCAGGGUGUUCCUGAUGCUGCUCCUCUGGCGUCAGUGGCGCAUGCGUAGGAACGCACGUGUGAUUCGAUGUUGCCCUCCUUUAUUUUGUUCGUGUGCUGUUUCCCCGCCACCCUCCGUUGAUCCUCCUGGUGCGUCAUGUCAAGAGGAUCAAGUUGAAGUGCGCUUUGUCUGGUCUGUACUCGUAAACCAAAGCCGCGUCCCUCG
rnacentral:misc_RNA from 1 species